rnacentral:rRNA from 2 species
GGACGUGCGGCGUGCCUAUACUGGCAGUCGAGCGAACUGAUUAGAAGCUUGCUUCUAUGACGUUAGCGGCGGACGGGUGAGUAACACGUGGGCAACCUGCCUGUAAGACUGGGAUAACUUCGGGAAACCGAAGCUAAUACCGGAUAGGAUCUUCUCCUUCAUGGGAGAUGAUUGAAAGAUGGUUUCGGCUAUCACUUACAGAUGGGCCCGCGGUGCAUUAGCUAGUUGGUGAGGUAACGGCUCACCAAGGCAACGAUGCAUAGCCGACCUGAGAGGGUGAUCGGCCACACUGGGACUGAGACACGGCCCAGACUCCUACGGGAGGCAGCAGUAGGGAAUCUUCCGCAAUGGACGAAAGUCUGACGGAGCAACGCCGCGUGAGUGAUGAAGGCUUUCGGGU